rnacentral:rRNA from 1 species
CCUACGGGAGGCAGCAGUGAGGAAUAUUGGUCAAUGGACGAGAGUCUGAACCAGCCAAGUAGCGUGAAGGAUGACUGCCCUCUGGGUUGUAAACUUCUUUUAUAAAGGAAUAAAACGAGGCACGUGUGCCUUUUUGCAUGUACUUUAUGAAUAAGGAUCGGCUAACUCCGUGCCAGCAGCCGCGGUAAUACGGCGGAUCCGAGCGUUAUCCGGAUUUAUUGGGUUUAAAGGGAGCGUAGAUGGGUUGUUAAGUCAGUUGUGAAAGUUUGCGGCUCAAACGUAAAAUUGCAAUUGAUACUGGCAGUCUUGAGUACAGUUGAGGUAAGCGGAAUUCGUGGUGUAGCGGUGAAAUGCUUAGAUAUCACGAAGAACCCCGAUUGCGAAGGCAGCUUACUAAACUGUGACUGACAUUGAUGCUCGAAAGUGUGGGGAUCAAACAGGAUUAGAUACCCGAGUAGUC